AGUGAACGCUGGCGGUAGGCCUAACACAUGCAAGUCGAACGGCAGCACAGUAAGAGCUUGCUCUUACGGGUGGCGAGUGGCAGACGGGUGAGGAAUACAUCGGAAUCUACUUUUUCGUGGGGGAUAACGUAGGGAAACUUACGCUAAUACCGCAUACGACCUACGGGUGAAAGCAGGGGAUCUUCGGACCUUGCGCGAUUGAAUGAGCCUAUGUCGGAUUAGCUAGUUGGCGGGGUAAAGGCCCACCAAGGCGACGAUCCGUAGCUGGUCUGAGAGGAUGAUCAGCCACACUGGAACUGAGACACGGUCCAGACGCCUACGGGAGGCAGCAGUGGGGAAUAUUGGACAAUGGGCGCAAGCCUGAUCCAGCCAUACCGCGUGGGUGAAGAAGGCCUUCGGGUUGUAAAGCCCUUUUGUUGGGAAAGAAAAGCAGCAGGUUAAUACCCCGCUGUUCUGACGGUACCCAAAGAAUAAGCACCGGCUAACUUCGUG
rnacentral:rRNA from 1 species